GAAACAGGUGUCGCAGUUCUCGCCCCACCAGCCGACGUCACACCUGCGCCAGGAGCGAGAAGGGAAGGGCUGUUAUGCUGUUUCGUCAACGGGAGGCGGGUCGUAUUUGAGAGGUUCCACACAAGCACCGUGCUCUUUGCUGCAGUUGGGGGCGCAGACAGCUGAAACGUGUAAAAAAAUCGAAAUAUAAACAUUUUGCUGGUAUUUCUUCUCAUGGAUAAAGCCUCGACGUAUUACAAGUUUAAAUGAACAAAGAAAAAUGGUUGCAUGAAAGGACAUAGAGAAUGAAGAGGCCCGUCCAGCCCGGGUCGCAGCGGCACUCCAAGGGCUUCGUGCAGUGGCCGUUGAUGCAGCCGGGCAGCGGCUUGCAGUCCUGGCAGGUGUCGCCGCCCCAGCCGAUGCGACAUCUGCCGGCAGAGGGA